rnacentral:snRNA from 1 species
AUGCUUGCUUCGGCAGCACAUAUACUAAAAUCGGAAUGAUACAGAGAAGAUUAGCAUGGCCCCCGCACAAGGCUGACAUGCAAAUUCGUGAAGUCUUCCAUAUUUUU